AUGUAAUCGAUUAUUCUACCAAACGUUACAAAAAUCGUGGUCGUCUUUUCUGCCUUUUUGACUAGAAUUAUUGAGUUGGAUCGUUUUUAUCACUGAGAAUGUAAUUAUAAUUCUCUUAAAUUUCUUGGUUUACUACGUCAUAUAUUCUAACACCCACUUUAGUAUUAUGUAUGCCGAAGGUUGCUUUCCUCAUCAUUCUUUGAAUUUAUUGCCUCACUCAGUAUUCAUUCACAAAAACUUAUAUUAUUCCUAUCAUUCUAAGCUCUUGAAGUUACAGUCAAACCAGGUUUUGUAAAUGAGUUUUAAUAAGUACAAAACAUGCUUGAAGUUGUCAUCGCAUUGCUAAAUGUUAGGCACUCCUCCAAUUGCAUACCAUAUUUAAUUACUUUUAAUCAAUUACAAUUUCGGGGUUGUCUCCCCUUGAAGUAAUCAUUUAAAUACUAACUAUUGUUGUCAAAAAGGAUAGAUUUUUCGUUAAUUAAAGUCUUUUGACAUUAUAGCGAAUAUGCUAGCGAGCAUUUCACUAUCACAAAAUUUUGCUUUGUCGCUUCUCAAAAAGAUUAAAAUAAAUAAAAAAAAUAUGUAAAAGACGGGAAUCAAUAUCGAUAUUGAUUGUAAAGAACGAAGAAUAUAUCACGCUAAUCUAAUCAUACCUUUGCUGUAACUUACCAUUUUAAUCUAAUAUAUUGUAUCACGAUCAUCACAAACAACCGGUCUUAAUGAUAGACGAGGAAUGCUAUAGCAAUAAAAAAAAUAAUAAGCAGUAAUUAAUUUAGUUCUAUUGAUCAUAUAGCUGUGUUGUAAAUGAUCACGAUAAUGAUAUAUAUAUGUAUAUAUGUGUGUACAUCAUUUAAUAAAUCGGAAACGCUGGGUGUCUUUUCAUUAUCAUAAAUGUAAGCGUCUAUGUUAAUAAUUGGAUCCUAGCAAAUACACACACACAGACACACACGCGCGCGCACGCACUCACACACAUGAAGAAAGGUGCCGAAAUCUUGGUGGCUUUCAGCCGACGUCCAACAGAGUAUUCCGCAGUGCAAACUGUAUGAAUAAAUAAAUAAAUAAAUAAUAAUAAUGGUAAUAAUAAUAAUAAUAAUAAUAAUAAUAAUAAUAAUGAUAAUAAUAAUAAUAAUAAUAAUAAUAAUAAUAAUAAUAAUAAUAAUAGUAAUAAUAAUAAUGGUGAUUUCUGUUAUUUGCCAAAAGUGUAUCAGAUGAGGGGGGCAUUACAGUCCAUGUUAGGGGUUUAUAUGAAAGAUAAUGAGAAUGAAAAGGACAAUGAAAUGAGAUAAAAAUGUACAUCGUAUACACAGUAUGUGAACACAUGAAUGAUGCAAUACUCCUGAUACAGUGGAACAUUUAACUGUAGCCACUCAAGGAACCUCACAGAUCUACUAUGCCUCUGACCACCAAGGGCACAAUCUAUAGCUCAUCUGAUGUUCUUCAGUCAGCAGGUACGUGUUUAGAGUAGAUCUAUUGCCGCUAACAAUUUUUGCCAUGUCACCCACCUUUUGUCAAAUUCACUGUUCGAACGCAUUUCCCUCUUCCUCCUCAUUUUCCUUCCAAGUGGGAUUUAAAAAGUCGAUGGAGACUUGACCGAAGAGAAAAGUGUCUAACCUCAAUCCUCUUAGCCUCUACAACCACACAACAUCACUUGCGAUAACCACUAGACAGAGGAACUGUGCCUACCCUGCUUUGUUAACGGUGGGUGGCGGGGCAAUCUCACGAUGGACUCGGCGUAGAGUUGGACAGAAGUUCUUCCUAAUUUUAGCACAAGGGCAGGAAUUUUGAGGAGAGGAGGAAGUUGACUGCAUCGAUUCCAGUAUUCAAUUGGUAUUUAUUUUACCGACCACGAACGAAUAAAAAGCAAUGCUGACUUCGACUGCAUUUGAACUCACCUUGUAAAGACCCAGAAGAAAUCUUGUAAAGCAUUUUUGCACGACUCUCUAAUGAUUCUACAAGCUCAUUAAUAAUAAUCAGUGAGGAGCGUGUAUUUUAGUGCUUGGGAUGUCAAACCGUCAUUUCGUUCUUUCGAUUCUCGGAACAGGUGGUGCGUUGUGUCCUUGAGCAAGGCACUUCAUUUCACCUUACUUCAGUUCAGUUGAGUGAAAAUGAGAAUGAGCAGUAGCUGAGAGUUAACUCUACAAUGAAUUGGAGUCCUCUUUAGACGGAUUCUUAUAUUCUGUCGGUCGCUUAAGCUCUUCGGAAACCGGGAUAAGAUCCGCUUUAAGAGGGACUUUAAUUUCAGGCUUAAUAAUCAGGUCUGGUGAUUUGUUAUGUAUCCACGAGUAAUUUCAUUUCUCUAUCACCUAUGAUCCAUUACCAAUGAUAAAGCUUAGCAAAGAUUUCGCUCGGAAGAAGCGGUAGUAAAAUCACCAUUCUAGUUAACAUUGUUCCUUUGUGUGGUUAUGGUUGAUUACUCUACAUUAAUCCGAAGGGAGCAUAGAGCCGGUUUCCAGGUUUCUGUGGCGUAAAUAUUCCUACCUGGAUGGGAUACCGGUCCAUCGCAGGAUUACUACUCAUUUUUACCAUUAUUCCAUUAUGUAGCGAAUAUAAAGUCUGAGUUGACAUUACUUUCCAUAUUUUAUUAUCAAGAAAACCAAAGAUUUUUUUAUGGUGCUGUCGAUAAGACCUGUUUCCUGAAUAGCUAUUGACGUGGCGCCUAUGUAAGAAAAAUAGUGAUUACGAGGAACUAUAUGCAGUGAAUAAGCAGAAGAUAUAAUUGAACAAACUGAAUGUGCUAUGCACAGACUCAUACACACAUACUAAUACGCCCACACGUGCGUGCGCACACACACACACUGAUGCACAUGUAAAACAUGUGGCCACUAUUUCUGCAAAACGCGUUACAUACAUCGAGAACACCAACAUUAUAUAUGUGCUCUUUCGCUUACACGAACACAAAUGCACACGCACACCCAAACACACACACACACACACACAUCCACACAUUCACGCGCAUAGUGUGUGGGCAGUAUCUGUUCCGACUUCGCCUCUAUCCCCUACGGUGUCAAUUAGAUUGAAUAACAGUUAUACACACUGAAUUAGGUCUAUUGCAUUUUUUGGGCAUAUUUCACUUCAACAAAUAUUAACCUUCUUACUAAGGAAAUACAUUUAAUGGUCUUCAUGAUGGCGAUGACAAUAAAGGGAUGGAGGCAGCGAAUAUCUAAGAAUUGAAGAAAGAAGGGGCCGCGGUGGGGAAAAUAUUGACUUAGGUUUGAUAUAAGAUAUAUAUAAUAUAGUUUCACAUUGGUACAUAUAUAUUUGUGGGUUGAUAUAUAAUAUAUAAUAUAUAUGUAUAUGUAUAUAUAUAUGUGUGCGCGUGUGUGUAUGUGUGUGUGUGUAUGUAUAUAUAUAUAUGUGUAUGUGUAUGUAUGUAUGUAUAUACAUAUAUAUACACACACAGAUAUAUCUGUAUGUAUGUGUAUGUAUAUAUAUGUAUGUUUGGGUGAGUGGAUUGAUAUAAACAUAGACAGUUAUAUACAUUUAUGUGGCUAUAAAUUCGACAGUAAGGGAAUUAGAUUAAAUCAACCCCAGGCAACAGCUGGUAUUUAUUUUAAAUAUUUUAAACAACCCUGAAGAAAGCAACAAAAAAUGAUAAAAUUUGUAAUGAAGGCAUAAGGCCAUGAAUUUUGAGAACUGGUUAGUCGACAAUAAUUGACUGGUACUUUAUUUUAUCGACCACGAAAGGAUGAAAGGCAAAACUGACCCCGGCGGGAUUUGAACUUAGAAUACAAAAAGAACCGGGAGGAAUGUUGCUAAGCAUUUUGUCCGGUGCUAUACUACUUCGUUGCCUUAAUAAUGAUAAUAAUAGGAAGAAGACCUAUUAUUAUUAUUAUUAUUAUUAUUAUUAUUAUUAUUGUUGUUGUUGUUGUUGUUAUCAUCAUUAUUAUGGUGUUGAGCUGGCAGAACCGUUAAGGCGUUGGACAAAUCGUUUUGCAGUAUUUCUUCCAACUCAUUACGUUCUGAGUUCAAAUUUCGUCGAGGUCCACUUCGCCUUUUAUUCUUUGAGAUGGCGCUGGUGGUGGGAGGGGGAGAGGGAGAGGUAAAAUAAAGUAUCAGUCAAGCACUGGAGUCGAUGUAAUCGAUUUGCCCCCUCUCUUAAAAAAUUGCUGUCUUUGUGCCAAAAAUUAAAAGAAAAAUUAUUGUUGUUGUUGUUUAUUAUUGUGUAAACAUAACGUAAGAUAAGCCGAUGUUAGAGCUAUGAAUAAAGGUAAUUAUUUUUGUAUAACUAUGUUCUUUUAGUUUAGUUGCUUUUGUAUUUAGUUGUGUCCUAUCCUUUCGAGUUCAAUAAAAAAAAAACCAAGCAUUUGGGUUAAUUUAAUCCAACAGCUAUCAAACUGACAAGUCCCAACACCUCACCUCCCCACAGAAUUGUUAAUGAAAUUAUUUGGCCAACCCUCUAUUAAUCAGAAGACGAAAUAGAGUUUGCAUCCAUAUAAUUCUUAUUUUCUUACCAUGGUGUUGGGCAUGUUUGAAGUUUAAACACAUCUUGAUUUUUCUGACCAUGGCAAUUGUCCGUCUUCUUUCUUGCAAUUCACAAUUCCCUAUCUCUUAUUUUGAAAGCGUACUGAUUUAAUCAACUCAGCUCUACCAGACACUGACCGAGAAUGGCCAUAAUUCGUUGACUGAAACUAAUAAAAUAGGGGAAAGUGGUUAUGUGCAUUGAAUCCAAGACUCUUUAUUUCCUGCACUGUUCCAUUGUAUCUACUUUCUAUACCAUCAACAAGAUUUUGAUGCUAUUUCUCGAUUAUCCCUGCUCUUUUAAAGACAGUUCAAAAGUUGAAUGUUAAUUGAAUCAUAGUUCGCUAUUCCAAAGAAAUGCUUAGAGAGUAACUCGUGGACAAAAGGGUUAGAGAAAAAUAAAGAAGAAAAUGGCUGAAGUCACAAGUGAUUGUCAUUGAAAACUGACUGCUUGUAAUUGCUUUGUUAGUCUGAAUUUUUCGGUUCUAAAAUCUAACGUUUCUGCAUUGACUUUGUAUGCCAUGUACAAGACUUAGGUGUUAUUUUUUCGAUGAUUUCUCCUGCUAGAAAGACAGUCAAAAGUUAGAUGACAAUUAAAUAACAGUUCGGUAUUCCAAAAAAAUGCUUAGAGAUUCACUCAGCGACAAAAGGAUUUAGAGAAAAUAAUGAAAAAGAAAAAAGGCUGAAAUGAUAAUAGAUCGUCAGUGAAAUCUUAGUAAUUGCUUUGAUAGUCUAAAAUUUCCGGUUUAAAAGGUCUAACAUUUUCUCAUCUAGCCGGGAAAUGUUUUGUUUCAUAAUGAAUCCAUCCCAUCCACAGCAGCUAUUUUCUGUCUACUUCCUAAUAUACAAUGUUGCACAUACAACUGGAACAUGGAGGUGCAUCUGGUGUUUAUACAGUAGAAACUUAUCUGAAGCUGUUGAAAACACAAUAAUAAUAAUAGUAAUAAUAAUCCUUUCUACUGUAGGCAGAGGGCCUGAAAUUUUGGGUGAGGGGAUAAGUCGAAUACAUCGGCCCCAGUGCGUAACUGGUACUUCUUUUACCGACCCCUAAAGGAUGAAAGAUAAAGUCGACCUCUGCGGAAUUUGAACUCAGAAGGUAAAGGCGGACGAAAUGCCGCUAUGCAUUUUGCUCGGCGUGCUAACGAUUCUGUCUGCUCAUCGCCUUAAUAAUAAUGGUAAUAAUAAUAAUAAUAAUAAUAAUAAUAAUAAUAAUAAUAAUAAUAAUAAUAAUAAUAAUAAUGAUAAUAAUGAUGAUGAUGAUGACAAUUUGGUCACGUAACGGUGGAAAUUUGGUCAGCAUUGACAAGAAUCCAACAGAAACAUUGUUUCUUUGCUUCGACCCCAAAAUCGGCUUCAACCACCACCGUUUGACUUGUAAUUACUUGUGUAAAUAAUACACUAUAAAUUGACCCAUAAAUUAUGAGUAAAAUUGGGUUUACGGAAAGUGUAUAGAAUCCCGUCACAUUGUUCUGUAAGAUAUAGUAUAAGAUGAUAUAUGAUACAAAAUAUAAUAUACCUUUUCUACUCAGGCAUAAGGUCAGGAAUUUGGGGGAAGGGGGCCAGUCGAUUAGAUCAAGCCCAGUACGCAACUGGUACUUAAUUUAUCGACUCCAAAAGGAUGAAAGAGAGAAAUUGACCUCGCUGGAAUUCGAACUCAGAGAGACAAAAUACUGUUAAGCAUUUCAUCCGGCGUGCUAACGUUCCUGCCAGCACGCUGCCUUUAUAGAAUAUAAUAUGAUAUGAUAUAUGAUAUAGAAUAUAAUAUAAUAUAUGAUAAUAUAUGAUACGGAAUAUAAUCUGUAGUUCAAAAGAGCAUAGUCUUGUCACACACUGCGGCCCGCUGAUUCUGCCUGAGAAUUACGUUAAAGGUAUGUGUCAGUUGAAUACUUAACGCCAUACGUGUUAAUUCAGGAGCAGGUAAUUCAGUUGAUUAAACAAUCAUCGUCGAAACCUUUGAAGAACCUUCCCUUUAUAUAUGGAUGUACAUGUGUGGUGUGCAUGUACGUGUGACGUCAUCGUUUGUUUUAUGCUUAAUUUUUAUAGAGCUUAAAAUAGGAGUAAAAAAAUCCUUUGCUAAUGAGAAUCACAAGACAUAAAAGAAAUUUGAACGCCAUUAAACAGCACAGUGUUAUGGCUAAUAGCAACAGUACGACCAAUGACAGUCAAAAGAUUUUCUCAAACUCAUCUAGCGUAAAAACUAUAUCCCGCAGUUUCAUCUCAGCGUACUGCAUUAGACAUGGAAUUUAUGUGAGACUAGAUUCAAGGCGACACCAGAAUGAUCUUUUAAUGGUUAUUAUCAUUGAAAUCAGAGUUAAUUGCCGCAAAAUGAGAGUUCGUUAUCAUCAUCAUCAUCAUCAUCAUUACUGCGCUUAUUGGUUAGUGUGUUAGUGUAUGUCUGUAUGUGUAUUUUAAAGUUUAUUAUUACAGAAAGCAAAUAAGUAAAAACUCUCUGACAGCCUAUCAACCAUGAUAAAAUAUCUUAUGUAGAUAUCGAUGUAUACGUGCAUUCAUAUGUAUAUAUAUAUAUAUAUAUAUAUAUGUAUAUAAAUAUAUAUAUAUAUGUAUAGGUGUGUGUGUCUGUGUGUGUAUGUAUAUAUGUAUAUGUAUAUAUAUGUAUAUAUAUGUAUAUAUAUGCAUAUAUAUAUACAUAUAUAUAUGUAUAUAUGUAUAUAUAUGUAUAUGUGUGUGUGUCUGUGUGUGUAUGUAUAUAUGUAUAUGUAUAUAUAUGUAUAUAUAUGCAUAUAUAUAUAUACAUAUAUAUAUAUGUAUAUAUAUUUAUGUAUAUAUAUAUGCAUAUAUAUAUAUACAUAUAUAUAUAUAUGUAUAUGUAUGUAUAUGUAUAUAUAUAUGCGUAAAUAUAUAUAUAUAUAUAUAUAUAUGUAGAGGCGCAAUGGCCUAGUGGUUAGGGCAGCGGACUCGCGGUCGCAGGAUCGCGGUUUCGAUUCUCAGACCGGGCGUUGUGUGUGUUUAUUGAGCGAAAACACCUAAAAGCUCUACGAGGCUCCGGCAGGGGGUGGUGAUCCCUGCUGUACUCUUUCACCACAAUGGCGGUGCCCCAGCAUGGCCACAGCUCAAGAGCUGAAACUGGAAAAACAAAAAAAAAAAAAAAAAAAAAAAAAAAUAUAUAUAUAUAUAUAUAUAUAUAUAUAUAUAUAUAUAUAUAUAUACAUAUAUAUAUGUAUAUAUAUUUGUGUGUAUGUAGAUAUAUAUAUAUGUGUGUGUGUGCGUGUGUGUGUGUAGAUAUAUACAUGGGGCAUAUAUAUUAUGUGUAUUUUGAAAUAGCAUAGAAUAACCUGUAUACUAUAUAUGAAAGAUGUAAAUAAUAUAUGUACAUAUAUACAUGUAUGUAUGCAUACAGAGAAAGAGAGAUAGGGAGAGAAAGAGAGAGAUGGAGAAACAGACAGAGAAAGAGUGAGGGAGAGACAGAUAUCAUUUGCAACGUGAUCCACAGUGAACAGUGCUUUCGUAAAGUUGUCACUUUGUUAUAUUGAUAGCACUGAAUGUGACCGUGGGCAAAACACCUGGGACGCUGUGUGCAUACAAUGGAUAAGAACCGCCCACAGUUUCACGUUGUGUGUGUGAGUGCGUGUGCAUGUGUCUGUGUGCGUGUGCCUGUAUAUGUAUGUGUGUUUAGUAUAUUCGUAUGCGUGAGACUGCCUGCAUAUGUAUGUGUGUAUGUUACGAGCGCAAACGCACUAUCUUAAAGAUAGCGUAGUUGGCAUUGACACGGUUUUUAUUAUAUGGUAAAUAAUUCUUACAUAUUUUGUCUGCAUUUUUCAUCUCAGCUUAUAUUUCAAUUCUUUACUUUCUACUGUCUGUAUUCCAUCCCUCUGUUUUUCCGUACAUAAUGUAUUAGUAUUAGAUUUUAUGCUAUUAUCUAUUAGAAUAGACUUUUUGACCCAAACCGUUCCCUUCUAAGUAUGUAUUGUCACUGUACUAUCCCGCUCUUCUUCCUUGCAAACAAGGUUUGCUUUCAGGCCUCCUAAUUUCUCUUACACCUGAUCUUGUUCUUUAUUUCACUUCUUUGUUUUAGCUUAGAUAUCGUGCGUUUUCCCCAGUGCGGAUAAUUGACAUAAAACGCACAAAAUAUAUAUUGCAUAAAUCUAUGAAAAUAUAUGUAUACGUUAGUGUGUAAGGGCGUGCAUGGAUGUAUGUAUCUAUGUAUGUAUGAAAUACACACACACGCAAACACGCAUGCACACACAUUAGCGACAUCAGGUCUUUGAAAAAAAUCGAGGCAGGAUUGACUCCGCUUGAAGCAACUAACUUACUUGCUUGCUGCUCAUGCACUAUGCAAAAAGUUUGCUUCUCAGAUACACGGUUCCUGAUUCUGUCCCACCGCGUAGCUCCUUGGCCAUGUGUCUUUUACUAUAGCUCCGAGUUGACCAGAGCCUUGGAAGACGGAAACUGAAAAAAGUCCAUCACAUACAUUAUACAUGUGAGUGUAUAUUAUACUAUAUAAUUCUAUAUGGAAAAAAAGUCAAGGUAGAAAAUGGUAAAAUAAUUCUGUAAAAAACAUUUCAGUACCGGUUUCAGUCAUUGAGAUAACAAUUAAAUUUUGGAAAAAUUAAAUGAAAAGUUUUUUAAAAGAAUAUUUGCAUAGUAUUUAAUUAAAUACAAGGGGCCUUUUCCUUGUUUCUGUCUGUCUCUGUCUCUCCUGUUUACUCUUGUGGGUACGAGGUCGUUGUAUAUGUGUAUGUGGUGUGUGUGUGGCAUAUAUAUACAUUAUAUAUAUAUAUGUAUGCAUGUAUGUGUGUAUGUAUGUAUGUAUGUAUGUAUGUACUGUAUCUUUAUGGUGUAGUUUUUGUGAGAAUCUCAUUCUGAUGCCUUAGGUUUCUUGUUAAUAGAUCUUUUGUUGAAAUUUAGACACGACACCGAGUAUAUAUAUAUAUAUUUUUUUUUAUUUACUACCCACAAGGGGCUAAACACAGAGAGAACAAACAAGGACACAAAAACGGAUUAAGUCGAUUACAUCGACUCCAGUGCGUAACUGGUACUUAAUUUAUCGACCCCGAAAGGAUGAAAGGCAAAGUCGAGCUCGGCGGAAUUUGAACUCAGAACGUAGCGGCAGACGAAAUACGGCUACGCAUUUCGCCCGGCGUGCUAACGUUUCUGCUAGCUCGCCGCCUUAAUAUAUAUAUUAUUAGUCUAGAUGGUUGUCUUGAAAAGAGAAUUAGUAUAAAACAGUAUAUUUAGAUUUUGGUGUCGACUACAAAUAUAAUCAAAGCAAUGCCUUACCUGAAUUGCAAAUGUCACUUAGGUAACAAGUCUAAGGCCCAAGUGGAACAUAACCACACUCAACAACACCUACACGUUAUUAAAUAGUAACUGAUGACUGCAUAACCAAUAAUUUUCACAGAAAGACAGCUAAUAACUGCAUCUGGAAUAAGGAGUUGCAAAAUUAAUUUCCGAAAAACGUCAUUAUGAUUUAAACUCAACUCAGUUUCUUACAAUCAUAAAUAAUGUAUAAUGAAUAUUGUAUCAUGUAAUGUGUAAUAUAUAAUGUAAUCAAAGUGCUGCACCCAGUUGUUACAUGCUGUGCAAUAAAGCAUUGUCUACGUUUUUUCUUUAAUAUAUUUUUUGUUCAAGAGCCAUUUUCCAUUCGUAUUCAGCCUUUGUAUUAUUUUGGCUUUGUGGGAUGCCACAUCGUAAAGCAUGCGUUACUUUAAUUUUUUAGCAUUCAGAUUACUUUGUCCAAUAUAAUGCUUAUUUUAUUAUUUUAUCUUGAAUUAAUCACACAUUAUCUCAUAACUCCGUCAUUUUGAUAAUGUGAUGGUAUAUUUUUAGAAUGAAAGACCAAAUCUGGUCGGCUUGAACAUAACAUAUGUAGAAUAUAUGGGCUGGAUACAGCCAUUUUAAACGCUAAAGCCUUAACGUAUUAGAGCUGUAUUUAGCCUUUGGUAGACUGGGAAUAUUAAAAACAUUUAACUUUGCGAUGGUCAUGAAUAUUGCAGCUAUGAUACCAUACAGCCGGUUUUGUCAUGAACUUAGUGUUUUACAAUCAUAGAAAGAUAGAAUAAUUGCUCGCUUGUUUUGCUGUUUAAUUACUUUCUGGAUCUUUUGAUUCUUAUCUAAGCUUUUUGUGGGUCAAAUCCGAAGCUUAAGACUGUAACUAAAAACAAAGAAACACGAUAACAGGAAGAAUAGAGAGUGUAUUUUUUAUAGAAAUAAAUGUUUUAUAAUUGCGUAGAUGUUUCAACACCAAAACAUUUCUUUAAAAAGGCUUUGAAAAAAGCCUUUGGCAUUGAAACACUUGGACUAUCGUAGGGUGUUUAUUUUAUAUUUUAUGAAUGUGUGUGUGUGAUGGUGGGAGGAGGCGUGUGCAUGUGGGUAGGGGUCGUGUGCGUGCGCGCGUGUGUGCAUGUGUGUGUGUGUGUGUGUGUGUGUGUGUGUGUGUGUGUGUGUGCGUGUGUGUAUGUGUUGUUCUUUUAUGUUAGUUCAUCAAAGAGUCCUGAAAUAAUUCGCCAAGUGUUCGGGAAGUAUGCUUGAGAAACUCACGUAGGUGUGAAACAUACGUGUGUUUGUGUAUAUAUACAUAUAUGUGUGUGUAUACAUGCAUACACACACACACAGACACACACACACACACACACACAUAUAUAUAUACAUGUACAUCCCCCCCCCACACACACACAUAUACAUAUAUGUAUAUAUCAAGAUAGACAUCGUCCUCGCUUUGAAAACCUCCAUUCGUUAAUAUGAAAUAUCGUUGCUUACCUUUCAUGUUUAACACAUUUAAAUGCCAUACACUAUUGUAAAAAUCAUAAGAGAAUCAUGACAACAAACUGUUUAUUGCAUUACAAUAUUUAGUUUAAUCCUUCUGAUUUUAGUAGCAUAUGGGAGUCGACCUCACACCCUAUAUCCACUUCGCAUACGUUUUAUUAUUUUCCAAUGUAAGACCGUUCAAGCUAUGCAAGACUUGUUUCAAGUAUUUUUCUGAAUUAAUAGUACAUCACUAAAUGAUAUUAAGUUGCUAGGGGAAGUCUUGCGAAAAUACAUAAAUGUCAAUAUCCCUGAUUACCUGUUGACCCUUCUAACAACGUAUGACCUUUUAUGCUUGCUUAUUCAUUACGAACAUUGAUUAGGAGAAAUAUGGUGGCAGGGCGAUAGGUAAAUUGAGAAGACGAAGCAAGGACAGGUGAAAGACCGUGAAAAUACUGACAGUCAGAUAGAUUGAGAGAUACUUCGUGAAACAGGAAGAGAGAGAAAGAGUGGAGGACAUGGCGCGAUAAAAACAGAACACAAAAACAGGGGGCGGAAAUAAGGAAAAAGAAAGAACGAACGGAAGGAAUUUGGAAGUAAGAAAAGAGAGCAAAAAUGUAUGUAUGUAUGUAUUUGUGUGUAUAUAUAUACACAGAUGCAUACAUACAUGUCAACACACACGCACACACACACAAUAUGAUCAUUAGUCCGCCAAAAUAUAUUGUGCUUUGCCUAUAGCUCUACUCUUAUACUUAUGGUUCCCGAAGAGCCAUACACGAAGUAGGACAUAUUUUGUCUGGCGAUUAUGGAUUAAAUAUUUUAUUCAUUCUUAAUCCUUAUCUUUGCUUUGAAAUCUUCUAAGACCACCAAAUCAGUUUCUUUUGAACUUGUCACCUACUGAAAUACAUGUUUGUGUGUGUGUAUGUUUGUGUAUGUGUGGUGGUGGUGGGGUAAGUAAAUUCGUUCCGUAUUGGACAAGAAAUAAUUUUACUUUUUUUUUUCAACCAUAGCUUUUAUUGAAGCUAUCUUAGUGUGAGUAAUCAGAGAGAUGAUAACUGUGCGGAAGCCCGUCUGAUGGUACACACUCAUAAAUUCUAAAAAUCAGCUUUUCUACACAUUGUCCCAUAUUGUCAGUGGCGUAGUUAGAGGUGCCGCCCGGGUCGACCCUUAACUUUGCACCCCACUCCCGCAUAUUGGCUCAUAAAACAGGCCCAGAUAAAUAGAUAGAUAAAUGGAUAGAUAGAUAGAUAGAUAGAUAGAUAGAUAGAUAGAUAGAUAGAUAGAUACAUAGAUAGAUAGAUAGAUAGAUAGAUAGAUAGAUAGAUAGAUAGAUAGAUAGAUAGAUAGGUCGUUCUAUCAAGCAAGUUAGUUAUGUAUACUCUCUGUCUUUCUCUGUCUAUCUAUCUGUCUGUGUGUCUGUUUCUCUCUCUGUUUCUCUCUCUCUCUCUCUGUUUAUCUGAACUUCAAAAGGCCUUGAAAGAGUGACAAAAAGAGAAAGGGAAAUAUAAAGAAAGGGAGAGAGAGAAGAGCAAGAGAGAGAGAGAGAAGAGAGAGAGAGAGAGAGAGAAAAUGAGAGAGAGAGAAGAGCGAGAGAGAGAGAAAGAAAGAGAGAGAAAAGAGAGAGACAUAGAGAUAGAGAGGCAAAGAUUCUGGUGUCGUAUGUUUUAAAAUCCGAACUUAUUGAGACUUUUAAAUGAUUAAUUUGUAACCAGAGAUACACAUUUAAACGAUUGGACGAAAAAUUAUUUCUAUUAACUAUACAGGCGUAGGCAUGGAUCUGUGGUUAAGAAGUUCGCUUUGAAACUACGAGGUUUUGGGUUCCAUCCUUGGGCAAGUGUCUUCUGCGUUAGGUGAGCCAAUGCCUUGGAUUUGGAGGACAGAAACUGUAGAAGUCCGUAUUAUACAUACAUACAUACAUACAUACAUACAUACAUACAUACAUACAUAACUCACCCUACGAGGAUCAUCCCCAAAAUACAAGGCUCUAUCCCAAAGAUAGAGCCUUAUAUCUUUGUUGGAAACUGGCUCCCUCCUCAAUGGAAGAUUUAUAAUAAUUAAAAAAUAGAAGCGACAUACUUCAGUUUACGAGGUCCCGCAUUACGAGAUCCCUGGUUUACGAGUUUUAUUUUUCAAGCACAAAGUACAAAUUUUGAACGACGUGCAAAAAUGUCUACUACCAUAAUAAAUGCUUCUGUGUGUUACCGAGAAAUUUACAUCCUUUCGGGGUCGAUAGAUUAUGUACCAGUUGUGUACUGCGGUCAAUCUAAUCGACUGGACCCUCCCUCCAAAUUUUGGGCCUUGUACCUAGAGUAGAAAAGGAUAUAGGAAGCCCAGUUUGUUCGAUAGAGUAUAAAAUAUAUUGAAUUAAAGCACCAUGUUACUGAUAGUUAUUUUUAACUGUCCUUUAAGACUGUUGAAUGAAGAAUAAAGUUGUUGGUGAGAUUUGAACUUAAAAACUGGCAAUAAAUAUUGAUUAAAUUUCUACUGGGUACAAAUAUUUUCAUAUCUUAGAAAAUGAAAAUGAAAACUAUACUAAUAACUUUGACGGAAAAACUCGAGUGAAUUAUUUAAAACUAUCUUUUGAUUGGUGCUGUUCAAAAGAUAGCGGGACUAUUUUUUUUUACUAUAUUCGGUCAUUAACGUAUAACCAACAUUGUUUUCUUUGACCACACACACACACACACAUAGUGGCGGACUGGCCAGGUUGCCAGCUUGCCCGAUGGCAAGUGGGCCCCUGCGCCAUUAGAAUCCAUAUAUGGGGGGGGGGGGAAUGUUAAUAUCUGAGGGACCCCAUACCCUAAAAUUUGAGAACUUUUAAAUUCAUUCCUGGAAAAAUGCAUUAUUUCAGCCUGGCUGCGUUUGUAGACAGUUGAAAAGAAUACUUUCAACAAAAAAAAAAAAAAACAUUAAAUGAUAGCAUUGUAGUUGAGGGUGGUCCUCCUUGUAGUUGCGGGUGGACCCCCUUAGUCUCCUGGCAACCAGUAUUUUUAGACCCAGUCCGUCACUGCACACACAGUUUGGUUGAUACAAGAUGCAAGAAAGGACUACAUCCAAAUUCCUUUUAACGGUUCUCUUUUAUUUGUUACUCUUUUCCAUGCUUCACCCAUUCAACUGCGGCCAUGCUGGAGUACACCCCUGCAAAAGCUUGGUAUGUUAAAUCAACUCCGGUACUAAUUUCUUUAAAUCUGUUUCUUUUUGUUGAAACGCUAUGGCACGUGGACGUAAACAUACUAACAUCGCUGAUCAAGCAGUGUGAUUCGAACACAAAGAUGUGCGUAUACACACACAUGCGCGCAUGCACGCACGCACACACACAGGUACGCAAACAUACACAUACACAUGUAUUUAUGUAUGCGUAUAUAUACAUACAUACGCACACACACGCACAUAUAUAUAUAUAUAUCACUCCCCCUCUCUCUCUUAUAUACAUAUAUAUAUAUAUAUAUAUAUAUAUAUAUAUAUAUAUAUAUAUAUAUAUAUAUAUACAUAUAUAUAUAUACACACACACACACAUAUAGUGUACUGUUCCAUGAUGGUAAGAUCAACUAAGACAGUGAGUACUCCAUCUGGUGAGAGAUAAAUAUUAUCUAAUAAACACAGUAUGUAUUUUUAUGAGCUACCAAUAGUUUCAUGUCGUGAAAAACAACUCAAAUAGUAUCUUCCAACAUAUCUGAUGCCUUGCACAGUUUUCCUUUACCCAAUUCAUCACAAGGCUUCGAUCAGCCAAGAUUAUUGGAAUAGACAUUUGUUUAACGUACCGUACCACAGCAAUGAAACUAAAACUACAUGUUUGUGAUUUGAACUUCUCAACCACACACUUAAACCUUUAUUCAAAGAAUAUUGUAAGAUCCAAAAUUAUGAAUCUUUAAUUACAAACAGUUAUUUUAUAGGUUCUUGAUACAUAUCGUCGUGGAACUCCGUCGGUUACGACGACGACGAAGGUUCCAGUUGAUCUGAUCAACGGAACAGCCUGCUCGUGAAAUCCAGACACGCGCACCCUCAACGUAGUUCUCGGGAGAGAUUCAACGUGACACAGAGUGUGACAAAACUAGCCCUUUGAAAUACAGGUACAACAGAAACAGUAAGAAAGAGUAAGAGAAAGCUGUAGUGAAAGGGUACAGCAGGGUUUGUCACCACCCACUGCCGCAGCCUUGUGGAGCUUUAGGUGUUUUCGCUUAAUAAACACACAGAACGCCCGGUCUAGGAAUCGAAACCGCGAUCCUCCGACCGCGAGUCCGCUGUCUUAACCACUGGGCCAUUCCACCUCUACUGCUUGUACACAUACAUCAUUACAGACAUACAUCAACUAAAACGUAUGACUUUAUUGAAUAAAGAAGCAAAGCAUAUAACGGCGAUUUAGCCACACUGGUAUAUACGAGUUAGGAUUUAAUUUAAUAAUAUUAAUUAGUUGUGGCAAACAUCGAGAUAAGGUAUCGUAACUGUUUAUUAGUUUUUUUUAGAAUUUUUAAAAUAUUCCUCUUGUUGAUUUUAUUUAUUUAUUUAUUUAUUUCAGUUCUUCCACUGCGUAUUUAUUUGAGUUCUUUCACUGCGUAUUUGUUUUGGUUCUAAGGUAUAUCACAUUCUGAGGAGAAGCUUAUUUGUAAGAAUUAUGAGGACUGUGGGCGUAUAUGCAUAUACAGACACACACGCACAUAGACAGACACUCUCUCCCUCUCUCGCAUUCACACACAUACACACAUACAAAUUGUAUAAUGUUUUGAUAUCGAAGCGUCACGUUGUUAUCACUGGCCUUUUGUCGAGUAUGCGCAUACAUAUCAUUUUUUCACCAUAACAUAUGUAUGUAAAUGUAUCCAUGUAUAUAUGUGCACGCAAAUGUGUGUGGGAGUAGUUUUGCAAGUAUGUAUGUUAAUGUAUAUACAUAUGUAUGUUCAUAUAUGUGUUUACAUGUUUACGGGUAUACAUAUAUACAUACACACAUAUAUAUAUGCACACACACACACACACACACACACAUAUAUAUACACACACAUAUAUAUAUACAUAUAUAUAUAUACAUAUGUACAUACAUAUAUGCACGUAUGUACAUGCAUGUAUGGGUAUAUAAAUAUCCAUAUGCGUAUGUGUGUAUAUAUGCACAUAUAUUUGUAUGUGGUUACCUGUAUACGCUUGAACAUCUCCUUAACAUAUACACAUGUCUCUCUCUCCCUUUUCUCCCCUCUCUCUCAAACUCUCUUUCAAACUCUCUUUCAAACUCUCUUUCAAACUCUCUCAAUCUCUCUCUCUCUCUCUCUCUCUCUCUCUCUAUAUAUAUAUAUAUAUAUAUAUAUGUUUGAGUGUAUAUAUAUAUAUAUAUAUAUAUAUAUAUAUAUAUAUAAAUGUGUGUGUGUAUAUAUUAUAUUUAUGAUAUAUAUAUAUACACACACGCGCGCACACACACACACACACACACACACACACACACACUCACACACACAUAAGCAAUGGCAGAUGUACAAACGCAUAUGUAAGUGCAGAGUUAGAAAUGUGUGUCUAUGUAAACACACACCCACGCGCGCGCACACACACACACACACAUACACACACACACAUACAUACAUACAUACAUACAUACAUACAUACAUACAUUACAUACAUACAUACAUACAUACAUACAUACAUACAUUACAUACAUACAUACAUGCAUACAUAUAAAUACACACGCAUACAAUCGCAUGCUUAUCACUCUUUUUAUCACAAUCAUAUUUAUCGAUGUGAGACUGGAUAUUAUUCGCUUUAGAUACAAGUCGUGUGCGCAUGCGCAGUUGUCCGUCUGUAGGAGUACGUUCUUUGUAUUGCGGCGCGUGUGGGCGUACUUUGUUUAGUUAGCUUUUGAUGCUCACGCUUUACAUACGCUAACACUGAAUCAACGCGUUUUGAUAUGCGUGUAAUAUGAAUGAAUGGAGUGAAAGUGAGGAUGUCUAUCGUAAUUCAAUGCGUCAGUGCGUAUGUAUGUGUGUGUGUGUUUGUGUGUGUGCGUGUGCGUAUGUGAGUGUGUGUAUUUGUGAUCACAUAUUUUUUUGUUUUUUUUGUUUUUGAUUUUACUUGUUUCAGUCAUUAGACUGCGGCGGCCAUGCUGGGGCAUCGGGUUAAAGAAUUCCAGUCGAACAAAUCAAUCCCAUUACAUUUUUUUUCUAAGACCGGAACUUAUUCUGUCGAUUGCUUUUGCCGAACCACUAAGCUACGGAGACGUAAACACAUUAACACCGGUUGUCGAGCAGUGAUGGGAGACAAACUCACACACAGCAUUGAUCGACCUGAUGCUACAGCAGAAGUCUCGGAUCUUUUCGGUUUGAACGGCAGUUUUUUCUAGCGGUGUCAUAUGAAAUUAUCACCCAUAAUUAUGACCGUAGUCAUUUCAAUUUUAUUUAGGGAAGGGUAUCUCUUUUUCUUCACAAAUGUAAAUAAACCCAAUCUGUUUCUUAAACGAAGGACAUAUUCAUACGGCACAGAAUGGUUUUUACCUCAACAGACGUCAGUGAUUGGUUGAAAUUGCAGAAAUUGAAGAAAAAACAACAACAAAUAUCUUACAAACUAUAGAAUCUUCUCAAUAAAGCCGAGAGAAAAAGAUGUUUAAUAAACACAUUCUACCAGUAUACGAAGUUUAAAAUUUUUUAGUUACCUAGAAAUUAUGUUAAAAACUGCCGUUCAAACCGAAAAGAUCCGAAGUCUCUUGUUUAAAUUGCCACGUAGUGGGACUGAACCCGGAAGCAAGUGGUUGGAACACAAACUUCCACCACACACCUACGCCUGUGAAUGAAUAUGUAUGACUGUGUGUACAUAAUACGUGUGCAGCUUUUAUUACCUAAGAUGUCAGCCAUGAUAAUAAUCAUCUGGAACGUCACUAUUAAAUGAUAAAUAAAUAUAAAUUACCCAGAAAAUACAACCGUAUAUUACAUGUGAGAAAUAUAGUUAUAUAAUCAUGUGUGUGUUUGUGUGAGUGUAUGUGCGUGUGUGAGCGUAUGUGUGUGUUUGUGAGUGUAUGUGUGUAUGAUGCAGUGUUUUAUUUAAAACACGAUUCAUUAAAAAAAAGACUCACACCUUUCAGUGAGUUUUGUUACGCUUGUUAUGCAUGAGGUCUUAAAGAAAAUAUUAUAUUUUUAUGGAUAUUCAGUGGUGCUGAUGAUUGUGAUGGUGGUGGUGGUGGUGAGGUGGAAUGGAGCGCUGAUUGACUUUUACGUGAAUGAGUGUAAGGUAACUAUGAAAUUGUGACCUUAUUGUUAGUGAGUAAGGAAAAACCGAGUUUACAUAUUGAGAAAGAGUAAGUCAGAGAAAAAGAAACACAUCCACACACACAUCCACACGCACGCACGCACGCACACACACAUACACACGCAUACAUUAUAUAUAUAUAUAUAUAUAUAUAUAUAUAUAUAUACAGGGUGGCCAAAAAAGUAGGUUUACAGUUAACCCGUAGGCGCUUUAACUUUCUUUUAAAACAUUUUAUUACAUUUAAAUUUCUAUCUUACAAACUGAAAAGGGAGCUUGACAAAAUUGACUAAAUUAGCAUAGAAUAAUGGUUUCAUUUUUUUUUUAUAAUCAAAAUUUAAACUGUUAAUAUAUGAAUACGAAAGCGAUACUUGAAUAACUGUAAACCUACUUUUGGGCCACCCUGUGUAUAUAUAUAUAUGAGAGUAUGUGUAUGUGUGUGUUUGUUUUUAUGUUCAGUUAUCAUAAAAACAAUUUUACAUUAAUCGGAAGGGUUAUUCUAUACAUUUGUAGAGUUCAUAUUCAUUAUUCUUUAACAAGCUGAUACACCCAAUUACUAAGUUUUAAAAUGCGGGAAUAAACUUUGACCUUUACAUUGUCAAAGUAAAGGAUUAAAUCUAAUAAAACCGAAAGUGACUGAAACUAGUGACACAUCCAAGGGCCUAAAACCUCCCUCUACCUACCUGCAUGUUUUUUGAGGACCAUUAAUUAACACUCUCAUGACCUAAGUCUGAUACACCUAAAUAUACACCCGUAUUUACAUGGUUGUACAUGCAUUGAUAAAUGCUGAACAAUAACAUAACCCCAAAUUUAGUAAAUAACGCCUCUCCAUUACAACCCACCCUACAUUCUAACUUUCAUUAAACUGAAUCCCACAUACUCUAGAAAGAUUUUUCCUCAACAGGGACUAUAUAAAGCCAAUAUUAAUUGAAAUGCAUGACAGACCGAUGAAAGCUGUCAGUGCUAUUCUUGUUAAAGAAUGAUAAAUAAAUAAAUACACACACACAUUCACACACAUGUACAAUGUAUGUAUAUGUAUAUAUAUAUAUAUAUACAUCCAUCUAUAUAUAUAUAUAUAUAUACAUCCAUCUAUAUAUACAUACAUAUAUAUAUAUAUAUAUAUAUAUAUAUAUAUAUAUAUAUGUAUGUAUAUAUAUAUAUAUGUAUAUAUAUGUGUGUGUAUCUCUCUGUCUAGCUAACUAGGUAGCUAGCUAGUUAUAUAUGUGUGUGUGUGUGUGUGUGUGUAUCCAUAUGCAUAUAACUAUAUAUGUAAAUAUGUAGAGAGAGAGAGAGAGAGAGAGAGAGAGAGAGAGCUUGAGAAUGAGAGAGGAAAAAAGAGAGAAACAAAGCUCUUACAAGCUAGUUAGCUAGCUAAUAUUUAGGUUUGUAGACAGAUAGAUUAGAUAGAUAGAUAGAUAGGUAGGUAGGUAGGUAGGUAGGUAGGUAGGUAGGUAGGUAGGUAGGUAGAUAGAUAGAUAGAUAGAUAGAUAGAUAGAUAGAUAGAUAGAUAGAUAGAUAGAUAGAUAGAUAGAUAGAUAGAUAGAUAGAUAGAUAGAUAGGUAGAUUGUAGACGAAUUAGUUACAAGGGCAGAGUAACACAGAACCAUAUGGACACUGGGUGUGUUGAUCUAUUUAGGUCCAGGUUAGCUCUGACUCUUUCUAACCAUUGCAUGUAGUUUUGCUUCAAACAUGGUACACCUAAAAUAAUGAUUCCACGUGUCCUUCCGCGUCUAUAGUAUGGUGCUAAUUUGACGUUUUUGCUGUUGUUUCUAGGUUAGCUGUAACGUCAUUAUGAGGCCUUCCUUUUAGUGUGCGUAUUUUCUGUCAGUGGGCGUACGAUUGCGUAGGUUUUGUUGAUAGCCGCAUGCUUGUGCGUGUUUUUGUUGGUGUAUGUGAGUUUCAAAACCAAUGUGACAAAUAAUAAAUUAUCAAUCAUUUAUAAGUGAGGUCAUUUUUUGUUUUAAUAAAACCUGUUCGUUUAUGGUUAUGCAUAAUAACUACGUGUGCACAGUAGAGCUAAUGAAAUAUGUGUUUUUUUAAGUCUGCACGCCCACAAGGAAUAUAUAUAUAUAUUUGUAGACUUACAAUGAUCGUCUUACAUGUAUGUGUGUAUGUAUGUGUGUGCGUAUGUAUGUGUGUGUGUUUGCAUUAACGUACGCAUGUGCUUAUGUAUGCAUAUAUAUAUGCAUACGUACAUAUACAUACAUAAUUACUCACGACACACAUACACACACACAGACACACAGACACACACACACACACACACAGACACACAGACACACACACACACACACACACACACACACACACACACACACACACACACACACACACACAUAUAUAUAUAUAUUCAAUACAUUGGAAAUUAAGAAAUGAUAAAAGAAAUUCUCAUACGCACGCACACACACACACUCACACGCACGCACACACACACACACACACACACACACACACACACACACACACACACACACACAUAUAUAUAUAUAGAGAGAGAGGGGGAAAGAGAAAAAGAGAGAGAGAGCUAAAUGGAUAUAGGUAUAUAUAUAUAUAUGAAAUUUUUUCAAACACGCACACUCACUCACACACACACACGCACACAUGAACUUUUUUCCUAAACUUUUCUGCUUUGUAAAGACAAAAUAAAUAAAUAACAAACAGUGUUUUCUAAUGCAGCCACACAAUGCCUUCAAUUUUGGCAGAUGGAGAAUUCAGUCGCCCUGUAUUUACACAUCAACACCUCAUCCAUUCAUAUACUCACAUACUGUAAUUGCCUUCAUUCAGUUCUAGCAUAUUUAAUGAAAAGAGCUUCAUAAAGUUAAUGAUAAUGUGUAUACGCCCACAUACUUCAACAUAGCGACUUACGUAUAAAUCUACGCAAUCUCAUUCACGCAUGCGUACAGAUGAAUCUAAACAAUAUCCAUACGUAGAAGCAUUUAGUUAGUUGUAAUAAAAGAAAACGAUACGUAUGUAAAUAUUGACUUUAAUCGAUUACAAAGAGAUCCGACCUCUGGGUACAAAUGGGUUCAGUGCCCCACAUUCAUUUAGUCUAAUAUUACAUGAUAUUGUAAAACCUGCUCCACGACUAUUAUUUUCCAAGAAGUAUGGUUAAAUCCCGUACGCCACUGAAUGAAGUUUCGCAUGAGAAUUAAACACCUGCACUGUGUAAGGAGUUGCGUUGCGAAAGCAGAAUUCAAAUAAAAUAUACUCUCUCCCUCUGCCUCUCUCACUAUCCUCUCUCUCUCUCUCUCUCUCUGACACUAUCCUCACUCUCUCUCUCUAGUGUCCAUUCAUUGUAGAAUGGUAUGAUUGCAAUAUGGCUUCGAUUCACAGUUGAAGUAUGUCACCUCAUAUUGUAUCUCUACUUUAAACGGCCGACACCACUCUUUAAGAGUCUUUUUGUCAUUUAGUGAAUUGCAGAAUGGAGCAGAAGUGGAAACGAAGACACAGUCUUCAGUGAUCCAGCAGAAAGAUCCCGUAUUCUUCAUUGCUGUCUCCUCCCUAUAACUGUAUUGAUAAAGAAUAUAUAAUAUAACUAAUACCUAGAUAUUGUAGUGACCUUUUUGUACAAGCACUGUAUUGUUAAGAGCAUAAACCAGUGUUUCCCAAGCCAGUCGGAGUAAAAUGAAAAUGUAAAAACUAUUACACUUUGGCACUUAGCAGUGUCUACCCGUACUAGCAUUGGUGUAGCUUUCAAUGCCAAAAUUUGGCACAAUCUUCCAGGAUCUUCCAGAUGUAUAUUACUGCAUACCCCUCCCGCCUACGCUGCAGGGAGUAGAGUCUUAGCUGUUCCAGCCCUACCCAGUAGCUGAGCUGUUGCAAUAAGACGAUCUUCUUUGGGAAGAAUAUAUAUAUAUAUAAUAUACAUAAUAUAUAUAAUAUAAUAUAUAUAUAUAUAUGUAAUAAAUAUAAUAUAUAUAAUAUAUAUACACAAAGUUACAUACAUGUAUAAAACACACACAUAUAUAUAUAUCCAUAUAUAUACCUAUAUAUAUGUACAUAUACAUAUAUAAAUUGUAUAUAUAUACGUAUAUAUAUAUAUAUAUAUAUAUAUAUAUAUAUAUAUAUAUAUAUAUAUAUAUAUAUAGAGAGAGAGAGAGAGAGGUGUAAAUUUAAACACAAGAGAAAACUGCCUUCAAUAGGCAUUUUUUAUACGCUAGAAGAAGUAGUCAAAACGACCAAAACCACAUUUAAGAGAAAUCUUCAAAAAGAAUGAAAAAUAGAUUUCAAAAUUUUUUAGCAAAUAAAAUAAUUUGCUAGGCAAAUUUCUCAUCAGUGACCGCAACAUAACACUAACAUAUAAUUAAGAGACAAAUAACACGUGGCUUAUCGUUAUACAUUAUAAUUUUUCAAAUUUACAGCGCAAGCGCAGUUUCAGUCAGCAGUUUUGGUCGUAUUGGAUACUUCUUCCAGCGUGUAAAAAAUGCCUGUUCAAGGCAGUUUUCUCUUGUGUUUAAAUGUACACUAUUUUAUAUUGAGAACAUGUUGUCUAUUGACUUUUUAUACAUGCUGGGCCACUGGAAGGGAAAUUUCUAAAAGAACUCACUACCCUAUAUUUUGCACACACACACGCACACACACAUACACACACACCCAUAUAAAUUAUAUAUAUACAUUUAUGUAUAUACAUAUAUAUAUAUACAAACAUAUGUAUAUGUAACUACAUGUCGACGAUUUUUUCUUCCGUCCUCCUUUCUUCUUUGACCUUCCUCUGUCUCCUAUUUCUGAAGAAGAGUUUUGUUUCAAACGUAAAAUACCUUUUCCUUCCUCCCCUGAGCGUCUUUUAAUACUUUGCAUGUACCGCAACAUUGCGUUGUUCGUAUACAUACAUACUUACAUACAUACAUACAUACAUACAUACAUACAUACAUACAUACAUACAUACAUACAUACAUACAUACAUAUAUAUAUAUAUAUAUAUAUACCAGCGAUGCGUAGCAACAUCUGAUAGCCUGGUCGGUCACAGUGAUCACGGUGAUAUAAGCAUAUAUAUAUGUAUAUAUAAUCAUAUAUGUAUAUAUAUAUAUAUAUAUAUAUAUAUAUAUAUAUAUAUAUUUAUAUAUGUGUACAUAUAUAUAUAUAUAUAUUUAUAUAUGUAAAUAUAUAUAUAUAUAUAUAUAUAUAUAUAUAUAUAUAUAUAUAUAUAUAAUACAUAUAUAUAUAAACAAUUCAAAAAAAUCUUAUCAAUGGCCAGCACAUCAAAAAAUACCUUGAAUUGUUUAUAUAUAUAUAUAUAUAUUUACAUAUAUAUAUAUAUACACAUAUAUAUACUUAUGUGUAUAUAUAUAUAUAUAUAUAUAUAUAUAUGCUUAUAUAUAUAUAUGCUUAUAUCACCGUGAUCACGGUGACCGACCAGGCUAUCAGAUGCUGCUACACAUCGCUGGUCACAAUGUGCUUCGCAUUGUUUUAGCCUUCAAAUGACGCCACCCCGCUAGCUAAGUGAGCAGGCCAACAGAAGAAAGAGUGAGAGAAAGUUGUGGCGAAAGACUACAGUAGUGAUGCCCACCACCCCCUACCGGAACCUCGUGGGGCUUUAAGUAUUUCGCUCAAUAAACACUCACAUCGCCCGGUCUGGGAAUCGAAACCGCGAUCUUACGACCGCGUGUCCGCUGCCCUAACCACUGGGCCAUAUGCUUAUAUAUAUACAUAUAUAUACAUAUAUAUAUAUAUAUAUAUAUAUAUAUAUAUAUAUAUAUAUAUAUAUACACACACACACACACACACACACAUAUAUAUAUAUGUGUGUGUGUGUGUGUGUGUGUGGAGGCGCAAUGGCCCAGUGGUUAGGGCAGCGGACUCGCGGUCAGGGGAUCGCGGUUUCGAUUCCCAAACCGGGCGUUUUGAGUGUUUAUUGAGCGAAAAGACCUAAAGCUCCACGUGGCUCCGGUAGGGGGUGGUGGCGAACCCUGCUGUACUCUUUCGCCACAACUUUCUCUCACUCUUUCUCCUGUAGGCCUGCUCGCUUAGCCAGUGAGGUGGCGUAAUUUGAAGGCUAAAACAAUGCGAAGCGCAUUGUGACCAGCGAUGUGUAGCAACAUCUGAUAGCCUGGUCGGUCAUGGUGAUCAUGGUGAUAUAUAUAUAUAUGUAUACAUAUAUUUAUAUAUACAUACAUAUAUAUAUAUAUAUAUAUAUAUAUAUAUAUAUAUGUACGUAUAUACGUAUGUAUAUAUACAUAUAUAUGUAUGUAUGUCAUCAAGGUAUAUAUCUCCCACAUACUCAGACCUCAUUAUGUAACUAAUUUACACAAUGUUCAGUUCACCGUUGUAAAGACCUGUAUCAGUGUAAAUUAACAAGUGUUUAUUUAGUAGUCCGUGUUCUCCUAUUGAUACUGUACUUGCUAAACUGUGCGUGCGGAGAAUUAGUUACCUUCUAUGUGCUUAUAGUGUGCUCAUAGCUUUGUCAAAAGAACACUAAUGUGCAACAUAAGAGUUUUACUCUUACUGAUGACUGAAAAUUUGAGGGAGCAUUGCGAAAUCAGCAAAAUAAACAAAUGCUCGCAUAGAGGCUCCGUUGAAUCAGUUGUAUCUGUAACAACUCCGAAGUAGACUCGAUACAAACGAAUCUAUACUCCGUUGUUCUGUGCAGGCAGACAAAAGUCAGUUCUGUACAGAUCGUGUGUAUUUGUUCCAUAGUAGGCAGAUAGUGUAUAUGUGUACUAUAACAUAUACUUAGUGUAUAUGCGUACUAUACCAUAUAUAUAGGUACACGGACGGGGUGCUGAAUGCACUUUUGCCGAAGGACAAGAAGCCGAAGUCAAGAAGCCGAACGGACACAAUCCUGAACAGACAUAAAGCCGAACGGACACAAUACCGGACGGACACAGUGCCGAACGGACAUAAAGCCAAACAGACAAGAUGCCGAAAAUUAAAAUAUAUAAUAAAAUUGCCAAAUUGGUGAAUAUAUAUUCCAAAUUGGUAAAUUGAUUAUUAAAUUAUGUAGGUAGGAUUUUUUUUUUUUGUGUCCAUUCGGCUUUAUGUCCGUUCGGCAUUGUGUCUGUUCGGCUUCUUGGCUAUUCCACAUCCUGUCUGCACACGUAUAUAUAUAUAUAUAUAUAUAUAUAUAUAUAUAUAUAGAGUAUAUUUGUCCUAUACUAUACACAUAGUGUAUAUUUGUCCUAUACAUAAAAGUAGCAUAUAUUUGUCCUACACCAUAGUGAUGGUGCAUAUGUGUCCUAUACCAUAAAGAUAGUGCGUAUGUAUUCUAUACAAUAUAAAUAGUUGGUAUGUGUCCUAUAUUGCAAAGACAUUGCAUAUGUGUCUUGUACAUUAGAAAUGUUGUGCAUUUCUCCUAUACCAUGUAGAAAGUGUGUACGUAUCUUAUUCUGUACAGAAUAAGAUGUAUAUGUGUCCUAUCCCAUUCAAAUGUCUUGUAUUAUAAUGAUACUCGUCUUGCACGUUUUUCUUGCCUUUACUCACCAAUAGAAGAUAUUGCUUCCUCAGAGAAUCUUCGAAAUUAUAGAUUGCUUGUAAUUUUAUAUUUUAGCGAUUAUAACGAACGAAUUAUGUUUUUAUACAAUUAAUGUAUCGCUUCCUAUGAUUUGAAUUAUAUGUAAAGGCUUGAGAUAGCAAUGCUUCUUGGUCUCGCAGAAGCAUGGAUACCAAAGCAUCUUAGUCUUAAGAUUUAGGUCAUUAUAGGCAACUAGUGUCGUAGUAGUAGUUACCAAAUUACUUAUAUGUUCCGUCAUAUAGUUUGGGUGGAUUUCCUCGUGAUAAUUAAAUUUCAGCUUUACUUGGAUUUAACCUGCUGCGCUAUAUAAUAAGUUCAUUAAAAAAUGUCAGAAUAUCAUAUAAUUGUUUCAUUGUCUCGGUGGCUUGUGCAAGCAAUAUUUUGUACAAGCUAUUAUGAUAUAUAAAUAUAUAUGUGUGUGUAUGUAUGUAUGUAUGAAUAUAUACACAUAGAUAAGCAUGCACACACACAUUCACGCACAUAUAUAUAUAUAUAUAUACGAAGGGCUUCUUUCAGUUUCCGUCUGCCACAUCCAUUUACAAGGCUACGGUCGGUCCAGGGCUAUAGUAGAAGACUCAUGCCUACGCUGCCACGCAGUGGGACUGAAUCCGGAACCAUGUGGUUGGGAAGCAAGCUUCUUACAACACAGCUACGUAUAUAUAUAUAUAUAUAUAUAUAUAUAUAUAUAUAUAUAUAUAUAUAUAUAUAUCAUCCCCUUUUUGUGUUCCCAGCACUCGGCAUCUUAAUUUAGGAGCCCUUAAUUGUAUAACUACAUGAAUAAUAUUUUUGUCUUAUGACUAAUUCGUCUUUUGUGCUGGGCACCUGGUAGUAAAUAAUAUUACUACCCUUCUUGUUCAUAUUCGUAUAUAUAUAUAUAUAUAUAUAUAUACACGUGUGUGUGUGUGUGUGUAAAGCAUAAUAUGUUAUAUGUAUGUGUGUUAUUGUAAUUAUCAGUUUAGUAAAUAAGUUAACAUAAUAUAAUGUCUAAAAUUGAUGAACCACCUAUUGAUCCCCUCCAUUUUCUUAUUGCUAUAUAAAUUAAUGGUAAAAUAUCUCUUUACCUUCACCCAUUUAGUACACAAGGUAAUGUAAUUACAAUGCAAUAAAAAACACUUGUGUAUUAAUAAUCGGGUAUUCUACCAGCAGUAUAUUGGAUAGAUAUUAUCCUUUAGUGGGUUGGAUUCACAACCUCUAACUUUCUUGGAGUUACAUAUAUAUAUAUAUAAAUAAAAGGAAAUGGAGAAGAAAAAGUAUAAUAGAUACUUGAUUAUUUUAUUUGUAUCACAAUGGAAAAGUAAAAAGGGGGUAAAGAUCCCCUUCGGUCAUGAAUGACCAUGGGAUUGCACCUAGAAAGUUACCCUCCUAGAUACAAGUCCGGGCAAGGUUGUUUAUGGAAGACCAGCAGUCGCCCAUGCAUACCAGCCUCCCCUCUCCACGCCACCAGUGUUAUCCAAGGGAAAGACAAAGGUCGACACAGCUUGGCACCAGUGACGUCGCAACUCAUUUCUACAGCUGAGUGAACUGGAGCAACGUGAAAUAAAGUGCUUUGCUCAAGAACACAACACGCAGCCCGGUCCGGGAUUCGAGCUCACAACCUCACGAUCGUAAGCUCGACGCUCUAACCACUGAGCCCGCAAAGUAAAAGUGAUACAUAUAAGAAUAAGGAUAAAAGAAACCGGAUCAACAAAGCAACCCAAAAGUAUCCGAAAAGAAAAUCCUGCACAUGUUUCAAUUAUCAACAUUCAAACGAUUAUAGAUGUAAAAAAAAACAUAUAUUGUUGGGUAUCUUCAGGGGAAAGUAAGUAAAUUUUCUGGUCUUGAAUUACGAAAUGAAUAAUUUGAGGACUGUGUUUCGAAAUUUUCAAAUGUAAACAACUUAUUAGGUUGUGGAGUUCAUGGGAUUAGAUAUUGAUCGUUGAAAUUUAUCUAAUAUUGAUCGUUGAAAUGUUGCUAAAACACCACAAUACAUUUGAAAAAUAUAUUUAUAAAAGUUUCUGGGAGGAAAAUGGGAUAAAGACGAAUGUAACUUAUCAUUAGGGGUAUAAGAUACAAAGAAUUAGAUUGAGAAAUGUAAAGGAAGAAGUGAUGAAAAGUUUGUUUAUAUUAUACUACAAUAAUGUUUUUUGUAAGUAACACAGAGGAAUACAAUAUUGGUAUUAUUUAGGAUUUAAAUGGGUUAAGAUAUACUUUCCGGUGUUCUAAGAGAAAAAAGUAUUAGGUAUAUCAAAAAGACUAUAUUGUACUUAUUUAGGAGAUGCGGAAAAAAUGUUAAACCGGUGUUAUAGUUUAUUUUUUUUAGGUCAUAAUAUGAGUAACUAGUAAUCUCUCUUGUUCAAUAUAUUUGAUAUAGCCAGUUGACUCAAAAUUUUGAAUUAAACAUACAUACAUACAUACAUACAUACAUACAUACAUACAUACAUAUAUAUAUAUAUAUAUAUAUAUAUAUAUAUAUAUAUAUAAAUCUAUCUAUCUAUCUAUCCACCUACCUACCUACCUACCUACCUACCUACCUACCUACCUACCUACCUACCUACCUACCUAUCUAUCUUUCUAUCUAUCUAUCUAUCUAUCUAUCUAUCUAUCUAUCUAUCUAUCUAUCUAUCUAUCUAUCUAUCUAUCUAUCUAUCUAUCUAUCUAUCUAUCUUUAUAUUGAUUAUACAUUCUAAAUCCAGCCAAGCAGUGACACAACUUGAUGCCAAAUAUACAUAAAUGCUACUUGAGUUCAAAGAAGUGAUAUUUCUUUGGCCAUACAGAAGUGAAAUUUUGUUAAGGAAAAAUAUUUCUAUCACAAAGCAAUUCUUUUUCCUUUCAUUCUCUCGCCGCAUCACUGUUCUACUGUAACUAAUUUACACAACCACUGGGAAUAUUAUUCUGUUCUUAGAUGGAGUAUAAAAAAAUUACACAGAAGAUAACAGAGUUGUCUUUGAUUUUAGAGAUGCUUAGAUAAACAUGGAGAGACAGACGGCAAGAACGAUAGAUAUGCUUAAAUGUCCUCGCAUACACGAAUAGAAAAAAAAACAGAGAACGAAAGAAAGACAUGCAUAAAAUGUUAAAACAAAGAUCAGAAAUGUUGAUAGGAAGUCGCACAUGAGUUUAAUUGACAUUUCACUAUUUCUUUAUUCUACAACAUCAAAUAAACUUGACAGUUUGAUCACAAUUACUUCGGCAACUUUAACUGAGUUUGCAUUAGCUCUGAAGAAAUUCAAAUAAAAGUGGAAUAUAUUCAGAGUUAUCUGCCGCACUUGCCGAUGGAAACCUAAUAUUUGUUAGUAACUAAUAUUUCUCCUUUUGUUGCAUAUCUGAUUUUUCCAUUAGCUUUUUCAUGUUGUUCUUCAGAGUAAAUAUGCAUUUGCGUAGUUGACUGAUGCAAAUGGACAGACGUGUAGUCAACUCUACUGACUGACAGGCAAACAGACACGCAGAGAAAUGCAUAUUAAAAAACUAAGCCAACAUUGAUUUAUAUGUUAAUAUGUGGAUAGAUGCAUCACAUCGAUCUUUCACUUAACUAUAGAGACAGAUAUAAACUUACAUGUAUACAUACAUUUACGUGUGAAGCAGCACAGUUGGAUACGUGUGUGCAUGGGUGCGUACACGUGUAUAUAUAAAUGUAUGUAUCUAUAUAUAUAUGUAUGUAUGAAAGAAUAUAUGAAUGUAUAUAAAGCAUGGUCACUAGAUAUGCAUAUGUAAAAGUCGAUAGCUACGGUAAACGUAUAUAUCGUAAUUAAAUUAAUUGAAAAUAUACUUACAAUAGGGGAAAAUGCGUUUAUUUUUACAAUUCAUAUAUUUACAUAUUGUAAUAUAAUUUGUAUUGAAUAAUCUAGGAUCUUUGUGUACACACACACACACACACACACACACACACACACACACACACACACACACAUAUUAAAUUGGAUACGCAAUUGGAAAAGCUACUAAUAAUUUCAUGCUAUUAUGAUACUUGAACAGGCAUAUUUAUAAAAUACGCCAUGUAUCUCAAAGCAAUCUUCCAGGCUAUGUUUAAAACUCCUAGAGGACAACGUCGUCAUCAACAUUGACGGACAGCAUUAAACAAAGUAAGCAUGCAUUAUAUAUAUAUAUAUAUAUAAUACAAGGACGCUGGUCAGUAAGAAAAUAUGAAAAAUGUGAAGACAGUCGGUGCAAAAAUGGAACGAAAAAAGGAAACGAAAUAAAAAAUUACGAUCCUCGUCCUCCCUGAUUGCAGAAAGCACAUUGAAUACAACUGGUUUAGAACACAAUACCAGAAAAUAUGUCUAAGUCUACAAGACUCAAUUCGGAGCGGGUGGUACCCGCCAAUUCGUUAAAAGAAACCUGUCCUGCUAAAAAUUUCAGAUCUCGAAUUAAGCAGUGUGUUGGAAUUGCUGGAUCGAAGAAAAAUAUGAAAUCUUUCUGCUAUGCAUAAAUAGCAUUUCUUAGAUUCAUUAACAUAUGGCUUGGAUUUCUCCACUGUUCUCUAUUUAAUUGUAUGUGAUGUGGAGCUACUCUUCAAAUUCCAUACAUAACCAAUUUAGUUGCAUUACUUUUAUAGAUGUGCCAGAAAGAUGAUAGGUGGUUUGCACAACGUCUCUUAAAUUUGCCCUCACAUAGCCCGAUGUAAUUCUUCUUUCCAAUUGAUUUGCCUUGGAAUGUAGAUGCAAUUUCAGCCUCAUAUGUGACAGAAUUUAUCAUAUUCACUUUGUCAAGAGGGCAAGCUUUAGUUAUAACUGGUAAACACUUGGUGAUUUUUGCGAGAUAUAAUGUUCCUCAUAUUGGUGUAUUUAUCUAUUUAUCCAUAAAUAUAUAAAUACAUAUAAAGAGAGAGAGAGAGAGAGAGAGAGAGAGAGAGAGAGAGAAGGAAAGAAAGAAAGUAAGUAAGUAAGAGAGAUGGAUGAAGAGGGAGAUAGCAUAAAAGCAUAAUAAACAUAAUCUCACAUAUAGUUAAUACUAUAGUUUAUAUUCAAAAGCUUUUUCAUUAAGAUAAACAACCAAAUUUAUAAUUAUAUGAUUGUGAUUCAUAGUUGUAUUAAAUUAAAUUAAUUAAAAAAAUAGUGUUUAUCUAAAUUAUCAGCAAUGUUAUGUUAAUCAGAAAACUGUUACUGGCUUAAAACAUUAUUAGACUGAAAAGAUGUUGACAGAUUUCUCCUCCACAAUGGUGAAUGCUGUCAGCAUAUUUUGAAUCCAAUAACGUUAUGCUUAAAAGCCACAUAUCUCUAACUAUUGGGCAAUAGGACUUGAUUAUGUAAUUUACAUUAUGUAACAAAUAAUCACCUUAUGUUAAUGAAGCGUACGUAAGAUGAUGUAACUGAAUAUCUUAUAAAUUAUCAAUUACGCAUUGUUUUAUUUGUGUAAUCAAAUGCAUAUUUGUUCAUAUAUACUUUUACACGCGCACACACACACACACACGCACACACACACAUACACACACACAUACGUACACUCACACCACACUUUAUUUUAUCUAUACAUGUGUAUGGAAUAUACUCAUGCAUAGUCAUAUACGUAACAACACACACACACAAAAACACACACACACACACACAUAUAUAUGUAUGUAUAUAUGUAUGUAUGUUUUUUUCUUUUAGUUUUAUUUAAGUUCUUAAAAGAAUUCAAGCCAGUCGCUAACAAAGUGACAAAACUUAUUGAGUAGGCGCAGGAGUGGCUGUGUGGUAAGUAGCUUGCUUACCAACCACAUGGUUCCGGGUUUAUUCACACUACAUGGCACCUUGGGCAAGUGUCUUUUACAAUAGCCUCGGGCCGACCAAAAACUUGUGAGUGGAUUUGGUAUACGGAAACUGAAAGAAGCCCGUCGUAUAUAUGUAUAUAUAUAUAUAUAUAUAUAUAUACAUAUAUGUAUGUAUGUAUUAUGUCUGUCUGUCUGUAUGUAUGUAUGUAUGUAUGUAUGUAUGUAUGUAUGUAUGUAUGUAUGUAUGUAUGUAUGUGUGUAUGUAUGUAUGUGUGUGUAUAUGUUUGUGUGUCUGUGUUUGUCCCCCCAACAUCGCUUGACAACCGAUGUUGGUGUCUUCACGUCCCCGUAACUUAGCAGUUCGGCAAAAGAGACCGAUAGAACUAGGCUUACAAUGAAUAAGUCCUAGGGUCGAUUUGCUCGACUAAAGGCGGUGCUCCAGCAUGGCUGCAGUCAAAUGACCGAAACAAGUAAAAGAGUAAAAGAGAGCGUUUGUAAAUAUGUGGUUGAGUUGGUGUGUUGGUUGAACUGUCGAUGCAUAUACCCAAGUACGUGCAUUUAUUCGCAGAAGAAUUUCAGAUGAGAGAAUCUUUGGAAUGUCUUAUAAAUAUUCAUUGUUCCGCUAAUUUUGAGAAUCCGCGUCGGUUUCUAUUGCUCUUUCUUUGAAAAAUCUAGUAUUUGUAGGUUUUUGUGAAAAUAUGUAGGUACAUAGUCUAAUGCACCUAUGAUGAUAGGUAAAAAUGAAAAUUCAUUGUCAGUUGAAUAAUAGCCCAUUUGUAGCCAUGAAUACCUGUAACCUUAGGUACCCACAAUCUUUCAAUAGUACUUUAAGUGCUUAAAACCCUCUUGAUAAUCUUUCGUGUCUAUAAGCGGCAAACUCACUGUAAAAGCUCUACAAAGCUAUUCCAGUCUCUUUCAACCAUUUUUCUAUAUCUUUGUUUAUAGUUCCCAAUGCACCAAUUAUCAAAGACACAAUUUUGACAGUUUUCAUAUUCCAAAUUCUUGCAAUUUCAAAUUUUAAGAGAUUGUAUUUUUGAUUUUAUUUAUUUAUUUAUUUAUUAUUACUAUUAUUCGAUUGGCUGCUUAAUUUAUCUCAUCAGCCUAUGGCUGAUUUGUAAGGUUGGUUACACACUGGUCAAUAGCCUGUUUUUGUUGUUGCUCGAGUCUUUUAUCCCAUGUAUAACAUACUCUCUUCAUCUGAAACAGGACAGUACUACUACCACUACUACUACUACUACUACUACUACUACUACUACUACUACUACUACUACUACUACUACUACUACUACUACUACUACUACUACUGCUACUGCUUAUCUUCGCAACUGUACUGCAAAUUGUCAUUAUAAAGACGGUUGGCGCCAAAGCUGGAAGCAAAAUGGUAAUUAUUCGGCUGUUUCUCUCUCUCUCUCUUUCUGUCUAUUGCUUCUGAAUCCCAAUAACCCCCGGAGAUGACUUGGUUUUUCACUCGUCCAAAAAUGAGAAUGAUCCUGAUUCAGAGAGUUAUAUGAACAUUAUAUUAACAUUAUAUUAUAUUAUAUUAUAUUAUAUUAUAUUAUAUUAUAUUAUAUAUAUAUAUAUAUAUAUAUAUAUAUAUAUAUGUGUGUGUGUAUGUGUGUGUAUGUAUAUAUAUACAUAUAUAUAUAUAUAUAUAUAUAUAUAUAUAUAUAUAUAUAUAUAUAUAUAUAUAUAUAUAUACAUAUAUAUAUAUAUAUAUGAGCGCCUAUUAAUAAUAAUACUGUAAUUGUUCCACUGUUGUUGUUUUUUUGUUUUCCCGUUUGGAUUAAAAUUAUAUAUAUAUAUAUAUAUCAUAUAUAUAUAUACAUAUAUAUAUAUAUAUAUCAAGUAAAAACAUGCAUAGAGAAAAUCACAUCUUUAAUUGUUGAAUUCACCAUACAAUGUCUGCAAUCGUUUCUGUUGUAUCAACACAAAAAAAUCGUUCAAAUACCGACAAUAGCGUCCCGAAAAUACAUGUUAACGCAAUGUAUUCAAAGCAAUCCGAAAUUAUUUAUCAAGCGGUGGUGAGGGAUACGUACAGACACACAUAUAUGUGUAUGAAGAUAAAAGACAAAACAUAUAUGUGUGUGUCUUUGUGUAUAUAUAUAUAUUAUUUUCUUUACGAGACUUCCUGUGAAUUCAUAAAAUUUGCGCUUUUUUUCCAUAAUGGAGACGAACACCAUCCUUCCAUGUGAUCGGCUUGAAACAUUGUUAAGAUAUUAAGAUAUGUUUCAUAACAUGAAACCAAUGGUAGCCUUAAUAUACAAAUAAACUCUAUCCACCUAUGUGGUGUUGAAAACUCAUACGCGUCGUUCGACAUUUACGUAUGUAUGUGUGUGUGUGUGUGUAUCCUUUAUGAUUUACUUGCUCCAAUCUUUAGGUUGCAGCCAUGCUGGUGCACCGCCUGGAAGAAUUUUAGUCGAACAAAUCGGCCCCAGGGCUUAAUUUUUGGAAGCCUGAUACUUAUUCUAUCGGUGCCUCACAUCCGAACCACUAAGUUACAGGGACAUGAAAAAACAACACCCGUUGUGAAGUGGUGGUAGUGGUGGGGGGCAAGCACAGACACAAAAUACAUAUAAAUAUAGAUAUAUACGAGUAAUCUUUCAAUGUAAUAUUUUUGUGUGUGCGUGCAAGUCUCAUUGACAAAAACGCGACACUUGAGUGGGCGCCACUUAUACGUGUGUGUAGUGUUUGCGUUCGUACGUAUGUACGUAUGCAUGCAUGCAUGUAUGUAUGUAUGUAUGUAUGUACGUAUGUAUGUAUGUAUGUAUGUAUGUAUGUAUGUAUGUAUGUAUGUAUGUAUGUAUGUAUGUAUGUAUGUAUGUGCAUGUUUAUACAUAUAUGUGUGUGUACCUCUGUUUGUUCGGCAUUUUAAACAUUUGACUGUAAAUAAGAGAAUGUGAAAUACUGCCGAUAUUUUAGAGCGGUUUAAGUGCCAAUCCCAUAACUUAGUGUUGCUGAGUCGUAGAAGAUUUAGUUAGAUGUUAAUCAUAUCGCAGUUCCUUUUGUAUGUGAUGGUCAUCUUCAGAUUUGUAACUAAGUUGUUAAAAAAUGUUGUUGAUGUUGUGUGUCUUGUUCAUAAAGAGCAAAGUUUUCAAUUAUUAUAUCAACUGGCAGCCGCCAUCUGUUAGUUGAAGCUGAGAUUGAAGUGCAUGGCCUCUCAUUUCAAAACUCGUUUUCAUAACCUGCUAUUAAAAUUUUGUUUUCAGUUUGUUCCUCACUGCCAACAUCAUGUCAUACAUCCAUUCUGUCUGUCUGUCUGUCUGUCUGUCUGUCUGUCUCUUUCUCUUUACGAAGUUAUUCCAGUUAAAAGAAUGCCAGAGAUUGAUUAACAUAAUGCUUAGGUUCCUUGGAUAAUGGAAUAAAGACUCAGUUUUCGAUUAUGCGACUGUGCUUAAUAAUAGUAAUGAUGAUAACAAUAAUCCCUUUCUACAAUAGGCGCAUGGCCUGGAAUUUUGAUGGGAUUUUUGUGGGGAGAAUAGAUUAUAUUAACUGCAGGCUCGACUCCGGAAGAAUAAAAGCAAAAACAAAACGACCUCGGAGGAAUUUGAAUUAACAACAUGGACACCACCACCACCACCACCACCACCACCACUACUACUACUACUACUACUACUACUACUACUACUACUACUGCUACUGCUACUACUACUACUACUACUUCUACUACUGCUGCUGCUGCUGCUGCUGCUGCUACUACUACUACUACUACUACUACUACUACUACUACUACUACUACUACUACUACUACUACUACUACUACUACUAAUAAUAAUAAUAAUAAUAAUGCAGUACCAGGUACUGGCUUUCAUAGCUUCUGAUCUUAACUGAUUGGAAGUGUUAUCAUGUACAUGUUUUGUCUUAUCAUAUAAGAUGGGUUACAGCAAAUAUUCUGCUCAAUACCACAGAUUUGCUUAUUAGUUGUUUGACCUUAAACAGUUGAGCAUGUCCUUUAGUGGUUGACGAUAUGCGCAUCUCUGAUCAGGAACAGAAGUAGUGGUGGGGGGGCAUCAUAGUCAUGUAUUGAAAGGAAUUUUGGGGUGUUUGAAUAAUUCACCUCUGGAAACAAACCUUAUUCAGAGAUCUUUUGAGCGGGAUGGGCUACUCCACCUGAAGAAAUUUCUAACUGGGCCCCACUUGCAAGGUCAUGUGCUGUUUAGCUUGAUAUGAGAUCACCAUGUCGUGCACAUAUGUUUGUGAUGCAUGUGCCCGGUGUACCCUUAUCAGACAGGUAGUCACAUUGGGUAUAUUGAGCUUCGUAUAUUUGUACCCUACUGUCACUUUGGUGGCAUGCAUUUCUCUGUCACUCAAUGAUGAUGAUAAUAAUAAUAAUAAUAAUAAUAAUAAUAAUAAUAAUAAUAAUAAUAAUAAUAAUAAUAAUAAUAAUAAUAAUUUCUACUGUAGGCACAAGGUCUGAAAUUUCGGGGGAUGGGGCUAGUCGAUUACAUCGACCCCAGUGUUUGACUUGUACUUAAUUUAUCAACCUCGAAAGGAUGAAAGGCAAAGUCGAUCUCUGCGGAAUUUGAACUCAGAACGUAGCAGCAGACGAAAUACCCCUUAGCAUUUCGCCCGGCGUGCUAACGAUUGUGCUAAUCCUCUAUUAGUGUCAGUUUGGCCCAUUAACGAAUACAAUAAACACACAUACAAAGUUGUCACAAAAUACGCGAAGAUAAACAAGAAAGAAUUUGUAUAAAUUCAUAUUUUAUGUUAAAAGAUGUUAAAAGAUGUUUGACGUUGGGCAAAAUAAUCACACAAAAUAAAUAGAUAUUUUAUCCUGCUCUACGGUUAGUUAGAGUCAGGAGCUAUAUUGACUGAUAGUACGUCUAUCAGCGAAGUAGACUGAACCAGAGAUCAAUGUUUACUCAUGCUGCUCUGUCAGCAAAUGCUGAAAUAUUUAUAUUAUCUCGAAGAUUUAAAGGAAAACACAAAAUAAUAAUCUACCGUAGACAAGACAGUAGCAUUUGUUUACUUUGCCAUCAAAACUGUGAAUUUGUCAACUAUACCAUCACAAUUAUCAAAUUGUUUAGAGUAUCACCAUGGUUACGCGUUUUACAUCAUCAACAUAAUUAUAGAAUUGAGUAAUUUCAUUUAUUUCUUUUGUGCUUUCUUUCAUCAUUUGCUUUCUGUAUCAUUAACUGUCAAAUUAGUUGCUAUGACUACUAACUUACUUAUUAAGCGACAAAGAAAAAUUAACACACACAGAUGCAAACUCUUACAUUAUCACAUACUGUCACAUACAGUCCUAGAGAUGCAUAAAUUUGCUUAGCUUAUAUGCACGGUUCAGUGAGAAGACUGUCGCAUAUCACUCACCAUAUUAUUUUUCUUUCGUUUUUUUUAUGUAUUUGAAAGAAAACAAAAUUUUUCGUUUUAUCAUAUGAGUUUUUAAUCGUCUGAGGGAAUUAAUUGACACUAUUGUCAAGAAUAUGGAAAGGCAAACUUCGAAGACGCGGUAAAAGAAAUAUACAACGACUAUGAUGAUGAUGAUGAUGAUGAUGAUGAUGAUGAUGAUGAUAAUGAUGAUGAUCAAGGCGAUAGGGAAGAUGAUGACGAUAGUGGUGAUGAUUAUGAUGAUGGUAAUGAUGAGGAUAAUGAGGAGGAAGAGGACAACGACGUUGAUGAUAUUGAUGCAGAUGAUGAUGAUGAUGAUGUUGAUGACAACGGUGAUAACGAUAGGGAUAAUAAUAAUAAUGAUGACGAUGAGGAUAACGAUGACGGUUACUUAGUUUGGCACCAAAGCAUUGAUUUAUUCAGAAGGGACACACAAUAGACACAAGUAAAUUAAUGGUACUCAUUCAUAUAAAGCAGUCGUGAAAUAAUAACACUAACAACAUCAAUAAUUAUAAUUUCUUACAAAUUAGCAAUAACGAUCACAUAUUAAAAUUAAUACUUUUUUUCCGGCUCUCUACAUUCUGAGUUCAAAUCUCGUCGAUGUCAAUUUUGUCUUUAAUCCUUUCGAAGUUGAUAAAACAAAGUACCAGUCAAGUACAGGAGUCGAUAUAAUCGACUUUCCCCUUCCCCUCAAAAUUGCUGGCCUUGAACUCUGCAACUGACCGGUAUCUCGUUCAGUGAGAAUGCUGUGAUCUCGGACACUUAUACGCCAUGAAAACCGUGUAGCCGGCCUUAUGAACCCUAGAGUGCAAGAAAAAUUAAAAUGCAUAUACAUACCUAAAUGAAUAGAAAUAAAAGCAAACAUGGGCCGUAUAUUCACAUACGGGUGAGAAGGCGCCAGCUUGAUUAGAUCAAAGCAUAUUACGGCUCCGAGCACCUUUUACUCCUGGCAUCUGGUAAUUUUGAAAGUGCCCGUAAGCACUUUUGGUGUGAGACUGAGCAAGGAUUAUAUCCUCAAAGUAGUGCUCUUUUUAGCUGUUUAUAGAUUACCGGUGCGAUUUUCACCUUCUCUCUCUCUCUCUCUCUUAUCGAUGUUCUUUAAAAUGAUAACCAAGCUCGUCUUGUCAGAUCAUUGUUCCUUCCGUUUCCAUCCUUCAAUUUGUUUUAUAGUUUCAUCAAUUCCUCGUUGGCUAUUUGAAGGACUACGAAUAUCAUGUAAUUCGAGGUGGAAAUAUGGUCCCCGCCACCUGUGUUUUAUGAAUUUCUCCGUUAUCUCCGAUGGCCUGCUAUACAUUCCCAGUAUCCAGUCGCCAUCGUUACAAGAUCAUGUAGUCAUAUAGGGAUGAGGUUAGUUGGCUUCCUGAUGGUUAGCCCUGCGCACCGAGAUCGAGAUAAUUUUCCCGACUAUCUUUAGGCAUGAGAUUAAAUGGUGCUUUAGAAACAGAAGUUUCUGGGAACUGUUGGUAGUUUUUUUCUAUUUCUGCUUAUCUCCGCUGCUCUCUCCUUCUCGUCUGCUUUUUCAUCUUUCCUGGGCAGAAAACUGCAAGUGACUCUUGCUGUGACAUGUAUAACAACUAGACUUUCAGCUCUGUACCAUCAGUCUGAUAUUAUUCUUUUUUGUAUCUACGAUGGUGUAAUGCAACUCGAUCGCUAUGUGGUCUUCGCGGCAUUAUCAGGAGUUGCAUAUCCAUAUAGACACCACUUAACCGCAUAAUAUUUCAAGUUACCUCUACUUUCAACAUCUACUCAUACCGUGACAUAUAAUGGAUUGUCAUGCCAAGAGUCAACGUCACAACUAAUGUUCCUAGCUAUUUGUAUUCCGUCGCUCUAUAUAUUGCAGUAGUAUUCUGUUAUAUGUCAACUCCGCCUGUCUUCUUGUAUCACUGUCGUGUAAAAAGUCGAGUACACGUUACCAUGUGCUUUACUGUGUACGGAUUGAUAAAAGCCAAAUCGUUUCAUAUGCCACCUUCUUCUGACAGCUCCUAUGGGUUACACUAAGGCUCACUCUGUUUUUCAAGAUACAGAUCUAUGUUACAGGCUUCCUUACUCUCUCUUCCAUGAACUCCUCGACUGAGGUGACAGUCUUCUUACAAAUACUUUUGCUACGUGAUUUUGUUUGCUGGAGCUGACUUAUGUCCAGCAAUUCUUUCUUUUUGUUUCGUAACGCUAACAGAUCUGGCGCUAUUGUCUUCCUUGUAGAUGUUAUAGUGUAAGAUCUGUGUUCUUAACAUGUUUUGGUAUUGCCAUGUAUUUCUAUGUGUUUUUAAAUCGUAGAUAUGUCUGUCUAAAUGUCAUUUCUUUCUAAUUUACCUUGUUCAAUUUGAAGUCAGUAUUGUUCCUUUCUCAAACUGUUCCUUGGAGGCAUAAUAGGCGCUACCUAUUUGUGAUUGGCAUUUCUUACCCCUACUGGAAAAGAAAAACAACCUGUUAAAUUACAACUAAAUGAAGGUAUACGAAAAUGUGAAAUAUUAAUAUGUCCAAAGAAAUUUCUUAUCUUUUCCCCUGAGGCUAAACUGGGUCGGUAGUUGAGUAUUUCAAAAUCUUCUGAGGCAAAUCAUUCAUGCAGAUUUCUUCAAUGAGUACCCAAAGGUAUCUUCGAUUCAUCCAUAGAACUGUCAGAAAAUAUAACAAAAACAACAAUAAAACAAUAAAGGCAUCAAUAAGGUCGAUGCGGAUGAUGAUGAUGACGAUACAAUAAUAAUAAUAAUAAUAAUAAUAAUAAUAAUAAUAAUAAUAAUAAUGAUAAUAGAUUAACCUUUUUUCUUCAUUUCCCCGCACAGAUGAAGAUGGAGAAAAGAAGCACACACUUGCACAGACAGAAACAUUUACAUACGUUAUUUAAAACAGCGGUGGUGCCCCAGCAUGGCCGCGGCCUUCGGGCUAAAACAUUUCUAAGGAUUUAAGGAUACGUAGUUUUAGGAUAAAAGAGGCUGAAUAUUUUAGCAUUGUAUAUAUAUAUAUAUAUAUAUAUAUAUAUAUAUAUAUAUAUAUAUAUAUAUAUAUAUAUGUAUGUAUGUAUGUAUGUAUGUAUGUAUAUAUAUAUAUAUGUAUACAUAUAUAUAUAUAUGUAUGUAUAUAUAUAUAUAUAUAUUAUAAUAUAAUAUAAUAUAUAUGUACACACACAUACCUAUAUAUAUGAUAUAUUGAUAUAAUAUGAUUGUGUGUGUAUGUAAGCGUGUGCGUGUUUACGUGUGUGCGUGUGUGUGUAAACAUUGGUAUAGUUUGGGAGAGGCAUGCUGCCAAAAUAUCCAUACACUCUGACUGUACUUCAGUUCUUUAAUUCAUUAUCCAAGUCUUUCAAUAGACUUCUGUAAACCAUUUCAAUGAGAGACCGGUGCUUGAUCUUCAUAUAUUACUAGAAAAACUGUGUAUGUUUAUCUAUAUGUCUAUGUGAGUGAGCAUAUGUUUGUUGUCGUGUUCAUUAUUGGUGCACUUAUUUGGCAGUCACGGUUUUUUUUUAAUUGGUAAGCGUGCAUCCGCGCCUGCUCAUGCGCACGAUUUUAUUAUUUUUAAUUUCACUUUCAUUGAUCACUCAACUGAACUCAGUAGCUUUUCCAGGUUGCUGUUGUCAAUCUCUCCACGUGCCAAUUUAAAUGCUAGAUAUUAUUAUGUUUUGUGUAUUUGGGGAAUUGAACACACACACACAUACAUACAAACAACCCCCCCACAUACACACACACCUGGUUUCAUUUCAUUAUCACUGAGAUGACGUAUACAUACGGAGUCGGUAACUUGUUAUAGUGUCAGAUGCCGUGGGUGAGCAAACGAGGUUUCUAUUCUGUUAUUGGUAACCGACCCUUCAUAGUUUUCUAAUGUUUUCCAUUGCGACAUAUCCAUGAUGGAGCACCGCCUUCCUUUUAGUCGAAGAAAUCGACCCCGGACUUAUUCCUUGUAAGCCUAGUACUUAUUCUAUCGGUUUAUUUUGUCGAACUGCUAAGUUACGGGGACGUAAACACAUCAGCAUUGUGUGUCAAGCGAUGUUGGAGGGACAGACACGCAAACACACAUACACACACACAUAUAUAUACCUCGGACAACUUUCAGUUUCCGUUUACCAAAUCCAUUCACAAAGCUUUGGUCAGCCCGAGGCUAUAGUAGAAGACACUUGUCCAAGAUGCCUCGCAGUGGGACUGAACCUGGAACCAUGUGAUUGGUAAGCAAGCUACUUACCACACAGCCACUCCUGUGCCUAUGUCCAAGUUUUUUUUUACACAUGAAUUAAAACAAUAAAUAUGACAGUCAUUUAUACGUAUAUAAAUAUGAGAGAAGACAGAAAAACAGAAUAUAAGGGCUUAGCAACGACACAAUGUCUUUGUGAAAGGCUAUUGGUUAAUAACUAAGUAAGGGGUAUGAUGAUAAUUUCCUGUUAUCAGUUGAGAACCCGGAUGAGAAAACAUGACGGAAUAAAGCGAAGAGAAUACUAUAUCGAAAUAGCAAAAACAAAAGCACAAAAAAGAUUAAACCCCCCACCCACCCACCCAUUCACCGCACCCGUCCCUUCACCAUCCUCCAAUAGAAACGUUAAAAAAUGCUUGAUAGAAGCAUAAAAUGAAAAACUAAUUACUUGAGUGCGAUGACCGUCUGACAGUGCACUUUUUAGUAAAUAGACUACUACUGCUACUACUACUACUACUACUUUGACUAUCAACGAUCACUAUCGCAACGCAGUAACUAUAUAGACAAAUGUACACACACAUAUAUACACAGGCACAUACGCAGACACAUCAUUCACAUAAGCAUGCACACACAUGCAUGUAUGCAUAUGCUUUCAUGAAUUCAAAUCUAUAUUUCUAUCUAUCUAUCUAUCUAUCUGUCUGUCUAUCUAUCUGUCUGUCUCUCUCUAUCUGCUUAUUUAUCUAUCUAUCUAUCUAUCUAUCUAUCUAUCUAUCUAUCUAUCUAUCUAUCUAUCUAUCUAUCUAUCUGUCUAUCUGUCUGUCUAUCUGUCUGUCUGUCUGUCUGUCUGUCUAUCUAUCUAUCUAUCUAUCUAUCUAUAUCUAUAUAUAUAUAUAUAUCUAUAUAUAUAUAUAUAUAUCUGUCUGUCUAUCUAUCUGUCUGUCUGUCUAUCUAUCUAUCUAUCUAUCUAUCUAUCUAUCUAUCUAUCUAUCUAUCUAUCUAUCUAUCUAUCUAUCAAUCAGUCUGUCUGUCUGUCUGUCUGUCGGUCUGACUUUCUAUCCAUCUAUCUAUAUAUCUAUAUAUCUUAUCUAUCUAUCUAUCUAUCAAUCAUUCUGUCUGUCUGUCUGUUUGUGUGUCGAUGUGUCUGCAUGUCUGUAUGUGUGUGUGUGUUUCUGUCAGUUUUUAUCAGCCUAUCUCUCCAUCCAUCUAUACACAAACCCACGUUUAUAGUUAGAGGUAGGCAGACAGAUAGACAGAGGCACAAAAUGAUAGAAAAUUAGAUAGACAGACAGACAGACAGACAAACAGAUAGCCAUACAUAGAUACAUACAGACGGAUAGACAGACAGACAGACAGAGAAAGAGAGGGAAGGAGGGGAAGACAGUUCAUUUACCGAGUGAUUCUUCACCAGAGAUAUAAACGCGAAUGCCAUUACUAACAAGCGUUAUUGUCUUCCUGUUUCUAAACCGAAACAAAUAAAAUGUCAUGUGUUGCUUAAAGAUGAACAAGUAAUGGACUCGGUGGCAAUAAUAGUAACACUAGAAUGGCAGCGUUUUCCGUUUUUCUAUUUCUACUUGUUUCAGUCAUUGGAUCGCAGCCAUGCUGAAACACCGCUUUAAAGCGUUUAGUUCAGUCAUGAGGAAACUGUGGCCCACGGGAUUUUCUGAAGGGCACACCUGACAAAAAGUUACCUUGAAUUUUUUUUUUUAGUAGUGCGGCUCGACUGAUGAUAAUGCAUACCUCAUGGGGCCCACUUUUCGUAAAAGGGUGCUCGUGUCUGGUUUAGUCGAACAAAAGGAGACCAGUACUUAUUUUAUUUAAAGUUUGGUACUUACUCUAUCGAUAUCUUCCGCCGAACCGCUAACACACACACGCAUACACAUACACACACAUACACACGCGCGCGCACACACAGACACAUAUGGUUUGUCCAGAGUUAUAACAAAUGACACGUACCCAAAGUGUCGCGUAGUGGGACUGAACCCGAAACAACAUGGUUACAAAGUGAUCUCCUUAGCUACACAGUCAUGCCUGGACGUUUUAGGAGGUUAAAACUAAUUAAAUGUCAUCAAAAGCGGCUAUGGCAGUGAUGGAGCAGACAAUGAUGGGAAUGUUGAUGGUGACGGUGGUGGCGGUGGUGGCGGUGGUGGCGGUAGUGGUGGUAGUGGUGGUGGUGGUGGUAGUGGUGGUGACGGUGGCAGUCGUUUUGUUGGUGGCGUGGGUGGUGGUCGUGUUGCUGGUAUUUAUUAUUUUUUUAAGGUAUACAUAUUUGGUUUUGCCGUAGGAUUUCGUGACAUUUGUGUUUUAUCGUUUCUCUUAGUAAAAGAACAUGUCUAGUUAAGGUGUUAGAAUUAGAGAAGCUGAUAGUAAUGGUGGCAGUGAUGGUGAUGGUGAUAGUGGAGGUGAUGUAGAAUAUCACGACAAAGUGGAAAAAGAGCUGGUAUUGAUGAUGGUGUAAGCGUAUCGAAACGAUGAAGAUAAUGGUACGGAUGUAGUUGAAUGAUGAUGAUGGUGAUCAUGAUGGCGAUAAUGGUAGAGGUGUUAUUGGUGAUAGUGGUGGUUGCGGCAGUGGUGGUGAUGGUGGUGCUACGGAUAAGCUGAAUAAUAAUGGUGAUGAUGAUGGUGGUAGAGGUGGUGGUAGUGGCGAACAUGACGAUGAUGAUGAUGAUAAUGAUGUUAUAGUCGUGACUGUGACAGUGGUGGUAGUAGUAAUGACGAUGACGAUGAUGAUAAUGAUGUUGACGAAAAUGACGAUAAUUUGGUUGUAGUCCGAACGACAAAGAUAUAUUUAAUAAUCGUCACACAUUAUACUUGGAAACCACAUUAUUCUCCAAGAAAAAUUCCUUAAAGUUUGGCAGCAACUUUAGCAUGAUACUACAGAAGGGCAAGUGUGACAUCAUUUGUAGCCAAAAUAAAAUGAGAAACAUCGCUAAAAUUACAACCCCUUCCAUUUUUGCACUUGAAAAACACCACCGAAUAGAAACAUUUCGUUAUCGCUACACCCGAAAGAUCUGCUUUCGCUUGCAUCUGUUAAUGCCCUAAAAUAUUCGGACUCUGUGUGGAGUUUUGAGAACUGAUUCCAAUAAACAUCAAUUGCAAACACCGACCUACACUAUAUACAAAACUGAACAAAUCAUGAUGAUGAUGAUGAGGAUGCUGCUGCUGCUACUACUACUAAUAAUUAUAAUAAUAAUAAUAAUAAUAAUAAUAAUAAUAAUAAUAAUAAUAAUAAUAAUAAUGAUGAUGAUGAUGAGGAUGAUGAUGAUGAUGAUGAUGAUGAUGAUGGUGAUGAUGAUGACGAUAGCAUUGUCGCUGUGAAGUUUCCUUUUUUCUCCUUCUUUGUCAACUGUUUUUACUUGUUAUUCUUUCCUUUUUCUCUCUGUCUUUCUCCUCCAUUUCCCCUGUCACAUGACUUUGUAUAUGAACAAUAAUCUGGGGCGUUUAUUUUAAUGGCCUGCAAAAGUAUGCAAGUGCGUUACUCUGCCCUAGGUGUCAGGAAGACACACGGCAAGAAAUGGAAGCCGAAUUGAAAGAAGUUGAUAAUGAAAAUAAUAAUAAUAAUAAUAAUAAUAAUAAUAAUAAUAAUAAUAAUAAUAAUAAUAAUAAUAAUAAUAAUAAUGAUGAUGAUGAUAAUAAUAAUAAUAAUAAUAAUAAUAAUAAUAAUAAUAAUAAUAAUAAUAAUAACAACAACAACAACAACUACUACUACAACAAUAAUAACAACAACAAAAACAGCAACAACAACAAGAAUAACAAUAAUAAUAAUAAUAAUAAUGACAACUACAACAGUAACAAUCCUUUCUACCGUAAGCACAAGGCCUGAAAUUUUGAGGAGUGGGUUAGUCGAUUAUAUCGAUACUGACAUAUGACUGGUAUUUAUUUUGUCACCCUCAAAAGUCGACUCGACGGAAUUUUAAUUCUUGACCUAAAGACGCACAAAAUACUGGUAAGCACUUUGUUCGGUGUGUUCAAAAACAACAACAAAAACAAACAGCACUAAUUAUCAUUGACCACCACGGAUGAAAUGUGGGGCUGGGGCUGGUGGGGCUGGGGGAUAGAGACAAAAUAUAUGUAUAUAUAUAUAUAU
rnacentral:lncRNA from 1 species